rnacentral:rRNA from 1 species
GUCUUUUUGAAUUUAUAUAUAAAGUUUAACCUGCCCAUUGAAAAAUUUUAAAAGGCUGCGGUAUUUUGACCGUACAAAGGUAGCAUAGUCAUUAGUUUUUUAAUUGAAAACUUGUAUGAAUGGUUGAAUGAAAAACUAGCUUUUUUUAAAAAAAAUAUUGAAUUUUACUUUUUAAUUAAAAGGUUAAAAUUUAUUUAAAAGACGAGAAGACCCUAUAGAGUUUUAUAAUUUAUAUAAUAUUUUUAAAAAAGUUUAUUUAAAAUUUUAUUGUAUCAAUUAUUUUGUUGGGGUGAUAGUAAAAUUUAAUUAACUUUUAUUAAUUAUUUACAUUAAUAUAUGAAUUAUUGAUCCAGUAUUAUUGAUUAGAAAAUUAAAUUACCUUAGGGAUAACAGCGUAAUUUUUUUUUAAGUUCUUAUUAAUAAAAAAUUUUGCGACCUCGAUGUUGGAUUAAGAGUUAAUUUUAGGUGCAGCAGUUUAAAGUUUAAGUCUGUUCGACUUUUAAAUUCUU